CCCGCAAAAUGCAAUUAAUCAAAAACCUUCAGCUCCAUUACCGCUGGUAUGGCCACAAAAGCACGAAGAAACCUCUCAAUUUUCUACACUAGAAGACACUUCACCGUCGUCGGAGCCAAAUUCGCCGGCACGAGGUCUCCGGCAGCAUGGAAGAUUGGAAACUUACUCGUUGUCGCUUCAAUUACAAAAGCUUUGACAGCACCAGGAGGAACACGUAACCUAGAAAAAUACAACGAUUCAAUUCCCCUAUCAGAAAACCUAGUCCUUCAAAUCCUUCGCCGUAACAAUUUAGACGCCGCCACUAAACUCGACUUCUUCAAAUGGUGCUCUCUCAGGCCCAAUUUCAAACACUCCACCGAAACGUACUCUCAAAUGUUCAGAUCCAUUUGCUAUUAUUAUUCUCACAAUCACUGGGAAGAUAUUUUCGUUCUCCUCAACUCCAUGAAGCAUGAUGGAGUGUCGCUUAAUUCGGCCACAUUUAAGUUGUUGCUCGACUCGUUUACUCGAGCUGGUAAUUUUAAUUCAGCUCUUGAGAUUUUGGAAUUCAUGGAGAGUAAUCUGGAAAAUUCUAAUAUUAAUUGUUUAAGUCCUGAUGUAUAUAAUUCUGUACUUAUUGCACUUGUAAAAAAAAAUCAAGUUAAUUUAGCUUUGUCAAUUUUCCUUAAAUUGUUGGAAACUAAUGAUGGGAAUGGUAAUAGCAUUGGGAUUAGCGAUGCUGUUGCAUGUAAUGUGUUGCUUGUUGGUCUUAAGAGGGCUAAUAUGAGGGAUGAAUUUAAACAAGUUUUUGAUAAGCUUAGAGGAAAGAAGAAUAUUUUUCCGUUGGAUAGAUGGGGAUAUAAUAUAUGCAUUCACGCAUUCGGCUGUUGGGGGGAUUUGUCUAGUUGCUUGAGUCUUUUUAAAGAAAUGAAGGAAAGGGGAAGUUGGUUUAGUCCUGACUUGUGCACUUAUAAUAGCUUGAUUCAUGUGCUUUGCUUGCUCGGGAAGGUCAAGGAUGCUCUUGUUGUGUGGGAGGAAUUGAAGGGAUCUUCGGGUUUGGAACCUGAUGUUUAUACUUAUCGAAUUGUUAUACAAGGUUGCUCUAAGGCUUACCUGAUAAAUGAUGCGAUAAAAGUGUUCAGUGAGAUGCAGUAUAACGGUAUACGUCCGGAUACUAUUGUUUAUAACUCCCUCUUAAAUGGAUUGCUCAAGGCGAGAAAGUUGACAGAUGCGUGCAAUUUGUUUCAGAAAAUGAUUGAAGAUGAUGGUGUUCGAGCCAGCUGCUGGACCUAUAAUAUUCUUAUUGAUGGCUUGUUUAAGAAUGGGAGGGCUUUGGCUGCUUAUACCCUAUUCUGCGAUUUGAAGAAGAAAAGUAAUAAUUUUGUGGAUGGGGUUACUUAUAGCAUUGUCAUUUUGCAUCUUUGUCAGGAAGGUAGGCUUGAUGAAGCACUGAAGUUGGUGGAAGAGAUGGAAGCUAGAGGGUUUAUUGUUGAUUUGGUUACCAUUACUUCUCUCUUGAUUGCAAUUUACUGGGAGGGGCAUUGGGACUAUACAGAGAGGCUUGUGAAACACGUUAGGGAGAACAAUUUAGUUCCAAUUAUUCUUAGGUGGAAAGACAGUAUGGAAGUUACAAUGAAAGCUCCACAGAGCAGAGAAAAGGAUUUCACACCCAUUUUUCCAUCGAAUGGGAACUUUGGUGAUAUUCUAAGCCUAGAAGAUUUAACAGACCCUGCGACUGAUACUGCCCUUGGGGCAGAGGAUGAGAGGGAUCCGUGGUCAUCAUCACCAUAUAUGGACAUGCUGGCUAGUAAAGCGAGCUCCCAAAGUCAUGCUACAAGAACAUUCUCUCUUACCGGAGCAAAACGAGUAGACACUAAAGGUGCAGAUUCUUUUGAUAUUGGCAUGGUGAAUACCUUCUUAUCAAUAUUUUUGGCCAAAGGAAAAUUGAGCAUGGCCUGUAAGUUAUUUGAAAUUUUCACCAGCAUGGGUGCUGACCCGGUUAGUUAUACUUACAACUCUAUGAUGGGUUCAUUUGUCAAGAAGGGAUAUUUCGACCAGGCUUUGGGUGUUUUACAGGAAAUGGGCGAGAAGGUUUGCCCUGCUGAUGUAGCAACUUACAAUGUGAUAAUCCAGGGGUUGGGAAAGAUGGGAAGGGCUGAUCUUGCUGGUGCAGUGCUCGACAAGCUGAUGAAACAGGGGGGUUACCUUGACAUUGUAAUGUAUAACACCUUGAUAAAUGCGCUCGGGAAGGCUGGAAGAAUUGAGGAAGUACACAAGCUUUUCCGGCAGAUGAAAGAUAGUGGAAUCAAUCCAGAUGUUGUCACUUACAAUACACUAAUUGAAGUUCAUGCCAAGGCAGGUCAGCUUAAGCAAGCUUACAAGUUUUUAAGGAUGAUGUUGGAAGCAGGGUGUGCCCCCAAUCAUGUCACUGACACAACUUUGGACUUUCUGGAGAAGGAGAUUGAAAAACUGAGAUACCAGAAGGCGUCCAUUAAACGCCCCAAUGUUGAUAACUCGUUAUGAGAAGAACUUUCAGCUUUAGAGGAGUGAGUUCAGUAAUGGCGGGCAAUUCAUAUGGCUGGUAUUCAGAAUAGAGUUGGUUGUUUUUCAUGAAUGUAAAAGCAGGGACAAUAUAUGCCUGACAUUGUCCUCAUUCUGCCAGUGAAGCUUGGCCCUUACGAAGGAAAAUUCAACCUGCGCGUGGUGAUUAUAAAUGACUUCGAGUUGAUAGUUGGAUUGGAGUUCCUGAGGCAAACCAACACCAUGCCCGUAGCGUAUGCUGACAUGUUACUGAUGAUGGGAGCAAACGGGCCAAGCCCUGCAUUAUCCCGUGCAUGCCUAGGAAGAUGGCCGCUGAGAACAUCUCGGCCUUGCAGUUGAAGAAGGGGGUCAAAAGACAUGAAGCUACGUUCUUGGCAACCCUCUGCGUUGAAGAUAUAGAACGCUCCUCGGGUCCCAUUACUGCACCCGUGAAGGAGCUGCUACUGGAGUUUGAAGAUGUCAGGCCACAGGACAUGCCAAAGCGACUCCUGCCUAAGCGCUUUGUGGACCAUGAGAUUUCUGCAUUUCCAAAUUAUGCUCUUACGUUCUCCAGGCUCCAUGUCUUAAGUUUUUCAUUUGAACAAAUUCUUAUAUUUUAGGAGGCUCGGGAAGAAGUUGAAUUCAUAGAAAUUGAAUUGAGUGCCUAGAAUUCAUAGAAAAAGUGAGUGCAAAGGGUUGUCAAAACUCAUAAUUUACAGAAACAAAGAAGCAGAUGAAAACCAUCUGACAGGAACUUGAUGAUGGCACAUAACUGAGCUCUCGCAAUGGCUAUUUCUCAUCUUAGUGGAUUGCUUUGAAA